rnacentral:rRNA from 1 species
AUACGUAGGGGGCGAGCGUUGUCCGGAAUGAUUGGGCGUAAAGGGCGCGUAGGCGGCCGAGUAAGUCUGGAGUGAAAGUCCUGUUUUCAAGAUGGGAAUUGCUUUGGAUACUGCUCGGCUUGAGUGCAGGAGAGGUUAUCGGAAUUCCCGGUGUAGCGGUGAAAUACGUAGAGAUUGGGAGGAACACCAGUGGCGAAGGCGACUUACUGGACUGUAACUGACGCUGAGGCGCGAAAGUGUGGGGAGCAAACAGGAUUAGAUACCCUGGUAGUCCACACUGUAAACGAUGAAUGCUAGGUGUAGGGGGUAUCGACCCCUUCUGUGCCGCAGUCAACACAAUAAGCAUUCCGCCUGGGGAGUACGGCCGCAAGGUUGAAACUCAAAGGAAUUGACGGGG